GGAAGGAUGAAGGCCAACAACCAACCAACCAUAUUCUAUGCACAGGCAGUCUGAUCUUUAAUUCAAGUUAUGAUGACCUUGGAUUAGAGGACUGAUGUUGUUACUAGCCCAACAAAAAGGACCUGAGAAACCAUCAUGACUGGGAAGGUCUAAAUGAUGCACUGUCAGGACAACCAGAAGGAAGACUCACAAAGGUUUAAAAGAUGCUGUUGGCCCUCAAUCUACAUCUUUGGCACAAACGGAGACCCAGGAACCCAGAAGAUCUGGAUUAAAAUCCUGCCUCUUGCACCAGCCACAUAACUAUGAUAUAUCACAUCAUAUCUCUGAGCCUCAGUUUCCUCAGAGGACAACAUUGGAACUGUCUUUCAGGCUUUAGAUGGCUGAAGAGAUAAACAAACCAGCAACAGGAUUUAGCUUCUUUUCCUUUGAGAUUUCAGCAGUUGCAGUCUAUCAGUCUUCAAACCAUCCAUCUUAGAUGACCAAGCCCU